rnacentral:rRNA from 1 species
UACGUAGGGUGCGAGCGUUAAUCGGAAUUACUGGGCGUAAAGCGUGCGCAGGCGGUUUUGUAAGCCAGAUGUGAAAUCCCCGGGCUUAACCUGGGAAUGGCAUUUGGGACUGCAAGGCUUGAGUGCGGCAGAGGAGACUGGAAUUCCUGGUGUAGCAGUGAAAUGCGCAGAUAUCAGGAGGAACACCGGUGGCGAAGGCGGGUCUCUGGGGCAACAACUGACGCUGAGGAGCGAAAGCGUGGGGAGCGAACAGG